rnacentral:rRNA from 1 species
UAACGGCGAGUGAAGCGGGAAGAGCUCAAAUUUGAAAUCUGGUGGCCUCAGGUCAUCCGAGUUGUAAUCUAUAGAAGUGUUUUCCGUGCUGGCUCAUGUACAAGUCCCUUGGAACAGGGCGUCAUAGAGGGUGAGAAUCCCGUCCUUGACAUGAACUACCAGUGCUCUGUGAUACAUUUUCAACGAGUCGAGUUGUUUGGGAAUGCAGCUCAAAAUGGGUGGUAAAUUCCAUCUAAAGCUAAAUAUUGGCGAGAGACCGAUAGCGAACAAGUACCGUGAGGGAAAGAUGAAAAGCACUUUGGAAAGAGAGUUAAACAGUAUGUGAAAUUGUUGAAAGGGAAACGAUUGAAGUCAGUCGUGCUCUUUGGAUUCAGCCGGUUCUGCCGGUGUACUUCCUUUGAGUGGGGUCAACAUCAGUUUUGAUCGCUGGAUAAAGGCAGGAGGAACGUAGUACCCUCGGGUAAACUUAUAGCCUCCUGUCACAUACAGUGGUUGGGACUGAGGAACGCAGCACGCCUUUAUGGCCGGGAUUCGUCCACGUACGUGCUUAGGAUGUUGACAUAAUGGCUUUAAACGACCCGUCUUGAAACACGGACCAAGGAGUCUAACAUAUCUGCGAGUAUUUGGGUGUCAAACCCAAGUGCGCAAUGAAAGUGAAUGUAGGAGGGAUCCGCAAGGAGCACCUUCGACCGAUCUGGAUCUUUAGUGAUGGAUUUGAGUAAGAGCAUAUAUGUUGG